UGUUGUUGCAAUAGUAAUCCUGCUCAGUACGAGAGGAACCACAGGUUCAGACCCUUGGUGCGUGCACUUGGCUGAGGAGUCACUGGCACGAGGCUACCAUCUGCAGUCUUAUGACUGAGUGCCUCUAAAUCAGAAUCCCGCCUAGACGUAGCGAUACCGCAGUGCCACUGGUGCCUCGGUGGGCUUGGGUAGCUGGUCGCCCACCUCAUACGUGGGACAGGCCCAGUGCGGAGUGCUGCUUGUGGUCAGAACCAGAGGGAUAGACAGAUGCGGCAGUGCCUCUUCCCUGUCGCAUGCUGUAUGAUCAUGGGGCACCUGGUGCUAAAUCGUUAAUAGAGGACCUGAUUCUGGGUCAGGGUUUCAUAAACAUCAGAGCAACUCUCUCGCUGAGAUCUAGCGAGAAUCAGUCCUCAACACAAGCUUCU
rnacentral:ncRNA from 1 species